rnacentral:rRNA from 1 species
UACGGAGGGUGCAAGCGUUGUCCGGAUUUAUUGGGUUUAAAGGGUGCGUAGGCGGGAGAUUAAGUCAGAGGUGAAAGACUGCAGCUCAACUGUAGCAGUGCCUUUGAUACUGAUUUCUUGAGUACAGAUGAGGCUGGCGGAAUGGGUGGUGUAGCGGUGAAAUGCAUAGAUACCAUCCAGAACACCGAUUGCGAAGGCAGCCGGCUAAACUGUCACUGACGCUGAGGCACGAAAGCGUGGGGAUCGAACAGG